rnacentral:rRNA from 1 species
CCUACGGGUGGCAGCAGUGAGGAAUAUUGGUCAAUGGGAGGAAUCCUGAACCAGCCAUGCCGCGUGCAGGACGACGGCUCUACGAGUUGUACACUUCUUUUGUACCUGGGUAAAAUGCCUUACGUGUGGGUUUUUGAAAGUACGUUACGAAUAAGGAUCGGCUAACUCCGUGCCAGCAGCCGCGUUAAUACGGAGGAUCCGAGCGUUAUCCGGAUUCAUUGGGUUUAAAGGGCGCGUAGGUUGUUUUAUACGUUAGCGGUGAAAUACCGAUGCUCAACGUCGGGGGUGCCACUAAUACUGUAGGACGAGAGUUCGGAUGAAGCAGGCGGAAUGUGUGGUGUAGCGGUGAAAUGCAUAGAUAUUACACAGAACACCGAGUGCGAAGGCAGCUUGCUAGGCCGGAUCUGACACUGAUGCACGAAAGCGUGGGGAUCGAACAGGAUUAGAUACCCCUGUAGUC